UACAGAGGUCCCGAGCGUUGUUCGGAUUCAUUGGGCGUAAAGGGUGCGUAGGCGGCGGGGCAAGUCUGAUGUGAAAUCCCGGGGCUCAACCCCGGAACUGCAUUGGAUACUGCCUUGCUAGAGUACUGGAGAGGGAACUGGAAUUUACGGUGUAGCAGUGAAAUGCGUAGAGAUCGUAAGGAAGGCCAGUGGCGAAGGCGAGUUCCUGGACAGUUACUGACGCUGAGGCACGAAGGCCAGGGGAGCAAACGGG
rnacentral:rRNA from 2 species